rnacentral:rRNA from 1 species
UACGUAGGGUGCAGGCGUUAAUCGGAAUUACUGGGCGUAAAGCGUGCGCAGGCGGUCUUUUAAGUCAGAUGUGAAAUCCCCCGGGCUUAACCUGGGAACUGCGUUUGAAACUGGAAGGCUAGAGUGUGGCAGAGGGGGGUGGAAUUCCACGUGUAGCAGUGAAAUGCGUAGAUAUGUGGAGGAACACCGAUGGCGAAGGCAGCCCCCUGGGCUAACACUGACGCCUCAUGCACGAAAGCGUGGGGAGCAAACAGG